rnacentral:rRNA from 1 species
GAUGAACGCUGGCGGCGUGCCUAAUACAUGCAAGUCGAGCGAACGGACGAGAAGCUUGCUUCUCUGAUGUUAGCGGCGGACGGGUGAGUAACACGUGGAUAACCUACCUAUAAGACUGGGAUAACUUCGGGAAACCGGAUCUAAUACCGGAUGAUAUUUUGAACCGCAUGGUUCAAAAGUGAAAGACGGUCUUGCUGUCACUUAUAGAUGGAUCCGCGCUGCAUUAGCUAGUUGGUAAGGUAACGGCUUACCAAGGCAACGAUGCAUAGCCGACCUGAGAGGGUGAUCGGCCACACUGGAACUGAGACACGGUCCGGACUCCUACGGGAGGCAGCAGUAGGGAAUCUUCCGCAAUGGGCGAAGGCCUGACGGAGCAACGCCGCGUGAGUGAGGAAGGUCUUCGGAUCGUAAGACUCUGUUAUUAGGGAGGAACAUAUGUGUAAGUAACUGUGCACAUCUUGACGGUACCUAAACAGAAAGCCACGGCUAACUACGUG